UCCGUAGGUGAACCUGCGGAGGGAUCAUUACACAAUAAGAAGGCGGGCUGGAUACCCCCAGCGGUGCAUCGCUUCACGGCGUGCGCAGCUGGGCCGGCCUUGCUGAAUUAUUCACCCGUGUCUUUUGCGUACUUGUUGUUUCCUGGGUGGGCUCGCCCGCCCUCAGGACAAACCAUAAACCUUUUGCAAUAGCAAUCAGCGUCAGUACCAAUGUAAUAAAUUACAACUUUCAACAACGGAUCUCUUGGUUCUGGCAUCGAUGAAGAACGCAGCGAAAUGCGAUACGUAGUGUGAAUUGCAGAAUUCAGUGAAUCAUCGAAUCUUUGAACGCACAUUGCGCCCUAUGGUAUUCCGUAGGGCAUGCCUGUUCGAGCGUCAUUCAAACCUUCAAGCUCUGCUUGGUGUUGGGCGUCUGUCCUGCCUCACGGCGCGGACUCGCCUCAAAUCUAUUGGCGGCCGGUACCGUGGCUUCGAGCGCAGCAAAUUAGCGACCUCAUCGCCUUUCGGUAGCUGGCUCCCAGGAAGGCCAUCUUUCAUGGUUUUGGACCUCGGGAUCAGGGUAGGGGAUACCCGGCUGGAACUUAAGGCAUAUCAAUAAGGC
rnacentral:rRNA from 1 species